CUUUGAAUGAGGUCACUCCAAGUGGGGGAGCAACAGGAGGGUCACCAAUAUUUCCUAAGUGCAGAGCUCCCUGGGGUGAUUUUAGGUGGAACACAGUAGGCUCCACGGAGUCUGAAACCCUUUCCUGGCACUAAGGACACUUUGGAGCCUUGAAGAACAUCUAUUCCUGGGCCAUCUUGUAGCUGACUCUUCUCUGGACCAAGUUCUCUUUAGCCUCCAGGGCUCUUUGUGAAACUACCUUCCUCUUAUCCUUCAAAUUUGGUGGGACAGCUGGAGUCUUCCCAGGAGCAGGCAUCUGAAACGGCACAUAGCAGUGGAUGCAAAACGGCAGUUUGCUGAACUGAAUUCUAUGGGUUAUGAUGAUGAUGAAGAAAUGAAAUGUGCAUGAAAGCUCCAAGCACAGUGCCUGGCUUUUGGGAGGCAUUUAGCAAAUGGGAGUCAAAGCUGAAUUUGAAUGACUCUCCCCUGUGGAAGCAGAACUGGAGCCCCUGGCCCAGAUUGUGAGAUGGAGCCCCAGGGUUUCAACCCUCUUCUCCGGGACCCCCGUCGGACCAGCCGCAGAGGACCUUUGUCUGUCCCCCUCACAGGGGCCCCUCCCCUAGCGCGGACCUCCCGGCCUCUCUCCACACGGGCAGCAGCUUCUGCGGCCCCUCUGGGGCGGUGGGCGUCCGUGUGUCGGCACAGCCCGGCUGGGCCCCUCUCCAGGGAAGGGGCUGCAGGGUGUGAAGGACUGGUGUGUGUGACUUUGUUUAUUUUCUCUAAAGGAUCCUGCCUGAGCCCUGCUAUAAAAAUAACCUGCCUGGAAACCUCAUCUCCGAGGGGGAGAAAGAAGCUUUUGUAUCCAAAGAAGUGGCUCUAAGGGCCUCCCUGUACCUUCGUCCCAGCCCCACGCAUCAGGGAGGAGCUGGCUGAGGCAAUGGGGGGCCAGGGCCCACGUGAGAGGGGCGGGGGGGAGGGCUGCCAGUGGAGGGCAUGGAGGAGGGGGCGAGGGAGGAAAGGAAGGGGCAGGGGGAGGAGAAUGCGGAGGGGAGGCUCUCAGCAGCCUCUCUGCUAGCAGGCUGAAGCAUCUCCAUGCCUGCUUAACCCAGGAAGUUCUAAAGAAGGACAGAGGACCAGAGGGGAGAAAGAAGAAAUCAACAAGAGAUACUCUGGAUACCAAGAGAGGAACAAAGAGGAAAAUCAAGUUCAAUAGAGAGGAGAGACACAGAGAGGAGACCAAAGUUAAAGCAGAAAGAAAACAGUGAGAAAUGUUAUGAGAAACAGACCUGGAGCUCGAGGGAUCAGGCCGGGGCCAUGUUUUCAGAUGAAGCUUAGGAUCUGGUCCAAUUCCUGGGAUCCAUACUGUGUGUGCAGCCCCCCACCCCCCCACCCCCCCCAACAAGGGGGAAGGCCAGGCCGGGGUAGACCUGGGCUCCGUUGGCCCAUUUAUGCUCAGCUGCUCUGGCUCAUACUGGGCAAGGCAUGAAGACGAGACUGACUCGGGUUUCUCAGGAUAUUCCUUCCCCAGAGCCAGGUCCAAAGGCAAGAAACGAAUCCUAUGGGAGUAAAGGGAACAGGCCUUGGAUUCAGGAGGCCUAGGUUUAAGUCACAGCUCUCCCACUUUUGAGCUGGGUGGUCUUGUACAAACCAUUUAAAGUCUUAUCUGUAAAGUCGAAAAAUAACAAGUCCCCCCGCCCCAAACUCCCAGGGCCAUGGGGCAGAUCCACUGAAGGGUAUCCAAUGGACUAAGCUGUACCGUGCCAGCAAGACCACAAGAGGGGAUGGCCCAACUGGACACAUUUCUCCAGGCACUGGCAAUGGGUGGAUGUUGACCUAGAAAUCAUCAGUCUUAGUAACCAGACCACUCACGCCACCUGAAAGCUGCAGGAGAGGCUCUCCCUGAUGCAGAAAGGUCAAAGAGGAGCCUCCAGCAUCAGUCAUUUGGAAAAGAAUAGGUUCUAAUACUAACCAUGUAAGUGAAGUCCCUUGCUGUAAGAAAUCACCCAUAGUUCUUCAUCACCAAAACUUGGGAUGGAGCCACUUAGAAUCAGAGUUUGGUAGGACAUGUGCCAUCCAAGACACCCUUGAAACUUCUGUUUAGGAGGGAAGUUUAUGGGGCCACCCUAGGGGGACAUACAAUCUCCCUGGGACUUGGAGCUGGUGUUCUUUGAGUGACACGGGUCAGAGAGGAGAGGGGAGUCUAGGAUACCUUACAGCAACUUCUGGAGGGAGAAAUGAGAAUGUGGAAAGUCUAUAGAGGAAGCUCUACUUUGGGAACAAAGAGCCAGGCAGCACAGCUGUCCAGCAAAGAUAGGGGAGUGCUCGGCCACGACCACAGGCAGGCUGUUGGCACUGCAGGGCCUAAAGUGGUCCCUGUGGCCUGAGGCUGAACAGAGUCCUAAGGAGGAAGGAAGCAGGGAGUGGGGCUGCCGCAACAGAGCUGCUCUGAAAUAGAAUGGAGAAGGCUUGGUGAUGCUUCUGGGGCUGUACCCCAAACUGAUCAUUAGCAAUGCAUCUGAAAACUAAUUCACGGCAUGUACUCAGGAUGCUAAUAACAAUGAUCAUUCCAAAAAAAAAAUGGUUAGCACUCCUAUCUGCAGGGCAGGACUAGAGACUCAGGCAAAGAGAACAGA